AUGGGGCGAAGGCUGAGACGAUCCGAACGCAGACGAGCCGACGCCGGAGAAGCCGGCCGCUGCCGCGGGCAGAUCCGUCGUGCCACCAUGAAGCCGCCACGACACCGGGAGGCCACCACCACCGCACCUCCCCACGCCGCCGCCCACAGCCGGAGCAACGGCCACGCCCGACCGCUACCCUACCCGCGUCACCCGGCGAGCUCCAAGCGCCGGAGCCGCCGAGCACGCACAAUUGGGUGCCACGCGCCGUCGGCCGACCCCCAACGCCAGAUCCGGCCAGCACACAUCGCCACCACCGCCACCAACCACGCCGUUGUUACCUCCGUCGAACCGCACGGAGGUCCCAGCCGACCGCAGCCCAAGCCAACCGAAGCCGGCACCAAGGAGCAACAAAAGCCACCGCCAGAUGCAGUCGGCCGCCGCCCCCGCCACCACCACGCCUCCCCUAUCCCCACCAGCAGCAGGGAGGAGACGAUCGUGGGCCUUGUUGCCCGCAGCCCCGGCCAGCCAACGGCCGUCGGCGCCAGACCCGGCCAGAUCUGGACGCGGACGACCCCCGCGCCACCACCCAAAGGACGCCGCCCCGCAGCCACCGCGCGUCGACAAGGAGCUAGAGCGCCGCCACCCGCUGCCAAGCAGAGGAACGGCCGCCCCGCCCGCCCGCCAACUCGCCGCCAGGCCCCGCGGCAGCCUGACGCCCCCGCGCGCCGUUCGGACCCUCGUCCUGCGCCGCACGCGGCGAGAGGGAAGAGCGCCCCGCCGCCACCUAUGUCGGCUGGGCUUUGCCCGGCAGCGCCGAGCGGCGGCGGCGGGGGAGGAAGGCCGGAAGGGGAGGCCCGAGCUGCGGCGGCUAGGGUUUGCCCCCGAGGACCCGAGACUUCUUUUUUUUCUUCUUGCAGGAAAAUUAUGUGGAUGGAAAUUCAUGUACUCUCAACUCUCAAGGUGAAAAAACACUCGAGUACCUAUUAG
rnacentral:rRNA from 1 species